AGAGAUCAUGGCUCAGAAUGAACGUUGGCGGCGUGGAUUAGGCAUGCAAGUCGGACGGGCCGCAAGGCCAGUGGCGUAAGGGUGAGUAAGGCGACGGCAAUCAACCCCACGGUUGGGUAUAGCCGCGAGAAAUCGCGGGUAAUCCCCAGCGACGCAGGAGGUCGGCAUCGACGCCCUGCCAAAGGCUCGCCGCCGUGGGACGAGCCGUCGUGGUAUUAGGUAGUUGGCGGGGUAACGGCCCACCAAGCCCGCGAUGCCUACCGGGUGUGCGAGCAUGGCCCGGCACACUGGGACUGAGACACUGCCCAGACUCCUACGGGAGGCUGCAGUCGAGAAUCUUCGGCAAUGGGCGCAAGCCUGACCGAGCGACGCCGCGUGGAGGACGAAGGCCUUCGGGUUGUAAACUCCUGUCGAGGGGAAGGAAGGGGCCGCGAGGCCCUUGACCGCUCCCUGGAGGAAGCACGGGCUAAGUUCGUGCCAGCAGCCGCGGUAAGACGAACCGUGCGAACGUUAUUCGGAAUCACUGGGCUUAAAGCGCGUGUAGGCGGGUCGGAACGUCGGCCGUUGAAAUCCCCCGGCUCAACCGGGGAAGGGGCGCCGAUACGACCGACCUGGAGCGACGUAGGGGGAACUGGAACUUCCGGUGGAGCGGUGAAAUGCGUUGAGAUCGGAAGGAACGCCCGUGGCGAAAGCGAGUUCCUGGACGUCGGCUGACGCUGAGACGCGAAAGCCAGGGGAGCGAACGGGAUUAGAUACCCCGGUAGUCCUGGCCGUAAACGAUGGGCACUGGGGUAGGGGGCU
rnacentral:rRNA from 1 species